UACGUAGGGGCAAGCGUUGUCCGGAUUUAUUGGGCGUAAAGAGCUCGUAGGUGGUUCGGUAAGUCGGAUGUGAAAUCUCCAGGCUCAACCUGGAGGGUCAUUCGAUACUGCCGUGACUAGAGGUCGGUAGGGGAGUGUGGAAGUUCCUGGAUGGAGCGGUGAAAGUGACGCAGAGUAUCAGGAGGAACACCCGUAGCGAAGGCGGCACUCUGGGCGAUACUGACACUGGAGGAGCGAAAGCGUGGGGAGCGAACAGG
rnacentral:rRNA from 1 species